UCCAGCCGGGAGGGCCGGGGUGGGGGGGGCUUCUUGUCGUGUACCCUGCUCCGAAAUCCCGCCCCGCUUUCAUCCUUCCACGUCCUGCCACGCACGCGCAAACCCUUCCGGACUGCGGUCGGUUGCCUGGGCCCGGGGUCGCGACCGGGCCGACGCUCGGCGUCCUCGCUGGAGGCGGCGAUCGACGGUCUCCGUGGCCGUGGAGGGGUCGGGACUCCCUCCCCCUAGAUCGGGGGGUGCCCGGCGCCGGCAACCAGAUGACAGUUGGCAUCGGCUCCUCCUCCCGGCUGGCUCUCUUCCGGCUCGGGUGGCUCCGCCGGGAUGUCGUUUAUCCAUCUACAACGGGACGUGGAGGUAAAAGGGUGCGGAAUCCCCCGGAUGUGCCUCCCCGAGUUCCUUUUUUCUGUCUCCUCCCUCCCCGUGAGGUUUCGUUUUCCCUCUGAGAUUCGGUUUUACCUCCAGCCAAGAAAGAGUCAAAGCAAAUUCCACGGGAUUUCUGAGGUGCUGCAAACUCCUGAAGUAAACAUGGAUCAGAUGGAGAAACUGAGGUUCAGAGGGGUUGCUGGUGAUCACGUGAUGAAGCCAUAGGAGAUCUUUGGUUGUGCAGGCCUGGCCCGUUCCCAAGAAAAUGUUCAACAGGAUCCCCUGGAUACUGACUUACAUUAAAAACGUCAGUACCUCAAGUUACAGUUGCUUCUUGGAAGAAAGACCCCAGCUCAAACCCAGAAUCUUCUGACAUGAAUAUGAAGCAGAGAAUGUGUGUGUGUGCCCAAGUAUACACACACACAAACACACACGCAAGGAAAACAGAGUUAUAUGUCAUCCAUCGUGUCCCAGAGAAUGUAAAUUCCAAGAGGGCGGAAGACCUUGUCUCUUCGUUUGUUCUGAACAACUGUUCGUUCACGGCAGGCGAUAAAUACCAUAUCACUCAAGCCAAGGAAGAGGCAAAGAAAUGUCAAAACUUGGGCUCCUCCUCACCUAUCUUAACAUAUAACCUCAAAAGACAGAGAGUCCUAGAAUCCCAGGACCCUCCUCCUCCUCCCAGCCUGCUCAGAAGCCACAAUGGCUUUCUUUACGUUCAAUCUGGGUGAACGGUACGGACGCCAUGUCUAGGGGGUAGUAAUAAUAAUCUGUGGUAUUUGCUAAGCGCUUACUAUGUGGCAGGCACUCUACAGAGGCCAGGGUGAAUACAAGCAAGGCGGGUUGGACACAGUCCCACGUAGGCUCAGGGUCUAAUUUGCCCUUUUUCCGGAUGAGAAAACGGAGGACCAGAAAAGUGAAGUGAUUUGCCCAACCUCACACAGCGGAUGAGUGGCAGAGCCGGGAUUAGAAGCCACAACCUUGUGACUCCCAGGUCGGUGCUCUAUCCACUAGGCCAGGCUGCUUCCCGUGGGUGGGGGCUGGGCUGUCCCAUCUAGAUCCAGACCCCGGGAAAACCCCCGUGACCAGUGACAAGGCAGUUUAACCCACCUGGCCCCUGACUGCAAUAAAGUCCUCAGGUCCUCCGCCUUGCGUAAAGAAGGCUGGCAGGUGGCAAGUAGGAAAUAUUACUUCUCUCUCCCAAUACCUGAUCCUCUCUGGGACUUUUUGCCAAGUCUGAAUAAUGACUUAAAUUACCCUUCCGGAUGGAGGCAUGUUCUCUCAUUUCCUAGUUCCCCCCCGCCAUCCACUCUCUCUCUAUCUCCUCUCCCACUUUCUCUUUCUCCUUUCCCUCUCUCUAUUCCUCACAAACCUGUCAUUUUCCAUCAGGGCCCAGGACUCGAUAAAUGACAGCCCUGGCUAUUCCAUAUUCCGCAGAUUAAUUUUCCAUUUUCUAAGAAACACGCUUGCCUAACAACAACAAGAAAUCCUUUUCAAAUCAAAACUGAUAACUGUCACCGAACGACUGAAAAAUGGAAGUUGUCCGAUUUAAUCCAUUCUCAUCGAGGGUUUCAGAAACGAAUGUGCACCGAGGCUCCCUUCAUGAUAGGCUGCAGAUGCCGCGUGUUCAGGUGUAAUUUGAAUCCACAUUAUAUUUAAUAAACCCGUAUGUUCACUUGUCCUAUUAAAACUGCAUUCUACCUUA